CCUACGGGCGGCAGCAGUGAGGAAUAUUGGUCAAUGGUCGGGAGACUGAACCAGCCAAGCCGCGUGAGGGAUGAAGGUACAGAGUAUCGUAAACCUCUUUUGUCAGGGCACAAAGGCGGGGACGUGUCCCCGGCUGAGUGUACCUGAAGAAACAGCAUCGGCUAACUCCGGGCCAGCAGCCGCGGUAAUACGGAGGAUGCGAGCGUUAUCCGGAUUUAUUGGGUUUAAAGGGUGCGCAGGCGGUCUGUUAAGUCAGCGGUCAAAGCCCGGGGCUCAACCCCGGCCCGCCGUUGAAACUGGCAGUCUCGAGUUGGAGAGAAGUAUGCGGAAUGCGCGGUGUAGCGGUGAAAUGCAUAGAUAUCGCGCAGAACUCCGAUUGCGAAGGCAGCAUGCCGGCUCCACACUGACGCUGAGGCACGAAAGCGUGGGUAUCGAACAGGAUUAGAUACCCCAGUAGUC
rnacentral:rRNA from 1 species